GCUAGCGUCUGGUGAGUAUGCAGUAAAACGUAUUGACUUGACGAUGAGUGAUUGGGCCGUGGCCUCGGGUUUGUUCCGUGACUAUCUCACGCUUCUCUUGGAGGCGGUCCUGGUGAUUCCAGCCUACUGUAAACGGCCUCUAGUCUAGAUGGCGUCUGCUUUGGCUGUUUCUCAAAUCAUCAGCCGUUUCUGCAGUGAAACUGCUGACCCUUCGUUGUGCAUUCUGUUUUCAGCAAAUGCAACUAUACACAGAAAUAAAAGGUAAAGGAAACUAUUCUUUUACAAACUCCUCCUUCCAAGCAGACCAGUCUGAAUACGGCAGUAAAAUCUGGCUGUCCCAUCGGGGCUGUAGACAUCUUUAGAGCAGUGAGGAAAAUGAGAACCUUCCGCGUCACAUCUUUACCGGGAUCAGCUCCAGGAAGUGGAGCUGGAGGCACCAGAGAGCGUCCCAUAGGCUCGAGUGGCAACAGUGGAAUUGAUUUCCUAUGCCUCGUCAGCUAGAAAGAUAAAACCCAGUACCAGGAUGAAAAGAACAUUUUAUAAGACUCUACUUCAUGGCUAUUGGGCAGUUUCAGCCAGCAGCUUGUGUGAUGGCCAACUCACUUUCACAAAGCAUCGUCGUGCACCCGCUGCUCACCGACAACACUGUGAUCUGGUGUGUUGUGAUGUGAGUGGGGGUGCUUCCUGAAGGCCUUAGUGGAUUUUGUCCUCAGCACCUCGUCUCUUCACUGCUUUCCCCCCAUCCAGGUCUUCUUGUCAAUCAUACAGUCAUUUUUCUAUUCACGAAGGGCCACCCUGUCUUGAUUUAUCUCAUAUUCCAAAAUUGCCUCUUUGUUCCCUGUCCCUCCUCCUUUCUGCCUUCUCCAUCAAGCCCCUUAGGCCCCAUGUCUUAUCUCUAGUGGGGACCUCAUUACUGGACAAAUCCACAGGGAGGCAAAGGUGUGGGGAGCAGAGGGGACUGGCCCCGGGGAGACUGGAGGACCCUCUUCCUCACGUGCUGCUGAUCUCGGGCCCCCAGUGCAGGCUCCGAGGCCGUCAGCAGUGGGCAGCCUUCCUUCUUGGGGAACACUUGGGAGAGCUGGUAUCCGGAGGACCAGGAGCCUCCCCUGGGCUUUGCAGUGGACCUGAGAGGAGGCGGUGCACCCACGGCCUCUCAUUGCCCCACUUCCAGGGCCCUUUGUCUUCCAGGAACAAACUCCCCUCACAGUUCCACUUCCACAGAGCCUGGAGUCUCCUCCGUUCUUAAGCUGCUGCUUUAUUUAGGGACUCCACACAUGAGAGGAGCUGCGAAAUAGUCAUUUGCUGGUUGGCAAACUUCAGGUCCUUAUGGAUAGAAUUUCCCCUGUGUUCCCCAAUGCCUUUGGUUGACUGAAUUCAAUGUUUUUGUUUGUUUGCUUGUUUCCCAAAUUCUUUGGUUUGCUCAGAACAGCCAAAAGGCUGAUAAACUCAGUCCGAAGCACUAUGGGAAUUUACAAGUCAUCGCCGAGUAAAAAAACAAUAUUCA